rnacentral:rRNA from 1 species
CACGUAGGGGGCGAGCGUUGUCCGGAAUUACUGGGCGUAAAGAGCACGUAGGCGGAUAUUUAAGUCAGAUGUGAAAGACCGCAGCUCAACUGCGGGGUUGCAUUUGAAACUGGGUAUCUUGAGGGCAGGAGAGGGCAGUGGAAUUCCUGGUGUAGCGGUGAAAUGCGUAGAAAUCAGGAGGAACACCAGUGGCGAAGGCGACUGUCUGGACUGACCCUGACGCUGAGGUGCGAAAGCGUGGGUAGCAAACAGG